rnacentral:rRNA from 1 species
GCACAGAGUUAGCCGUCUCUUCCUCUUCUAGUACUAUCAAGCUUCCGUUAGUGAAACGGAAGUUUUGUUCCCAAAUGACAGGAGUUUACAAUCCGAAGACCUUCAUCCUCCACGCGGCGUCGCUCCUUCAGGGUUGCCCCCAUUGAGAAAAAUUCUCGACUGCUGCCACCCGUAGGUGUCUGGACCGUGUCUCAGUUCCAGUGUGGCUGGUCGUCCUCUCAGACCAGCUACCCGUCAUAGCCUUGGUGGGCCGUUACCCCGCCAACUAGCUGAUAGGCCGCGGGCUCAUCCAGGAGUGACAGUUUGACCCGUCUUUGACGUCCCGGAGAUGACUUCGGUAGUCUUAUGCGGUAUUAAUUCGGCUUUCGCCGAGCUAUCCCGCGCCCCUGGGCAGAUUGCCCACGUGUUACGCACCCUUGCGCCACUGGACUUUACCGGUAUUGCUACAAGUAAGUCCCGUUCGACUUGCAUGUCUUAUCCACGCCGCCACCGUUCGUU